rnacentral:misc_RNA from 1 species
AAAAAAAAAAAAAAAAAAACGAAGCAGCGAAUCGAUGGCAGUGCAGCCGCUUUAUGGGCGGCGGUUUAAUGCCCUCUCCGACCAUCCAGCUGCCGGAUUCCUCAUCCUCCUUCCCUUAUUUCUUCAUUUACCUCUUUAAUUUCCUUUUAACCUUUUCCUUGUUUUUUCUCACUUCAAAAUUUUUCUUUCUGCCUCUUUCAUUUUCGAGUGACAAAAGGGUGGAUCAUGUUUGUGUUACUUCGAAGUGACUUAAAAAAAAAUCCAACGAAUGAACGGUGGAUUUGGGUAAUUUUCUUUUGUUAUAGAUUUUUUAGCGAAUUGCGCGAUGGAUUAGGGUUAUGUAAACGAGCUUCAAGUAAUGAGAAUUUUAGAAAGAUGGCGAUGAUAAAAACCAUAUCAAAUUGCAAUAUUCUACCAACAGAGCAGCAAUUUCAGGGUUUUGAUUUUCUACGCAGAAUCGCGAAGCUAGGUGCUUAUUAGCACCGACAGUGAAGCAGAUACGCGAGCUACCAAGCAAUGUUGAGUCCAAUUUUGUCAUUGAUGGUGUUGAAGUGGCCAAUGUAAGUCUUAACAGAGAUUUGAUAAUGUUUGAUUUUGUUUUAUGAGUGUAUGUAUUUUGUAAUGUGAUUUUGAGACGAGUUGGGGUCUGAGCUUAAGUUGAGCUUAGGUUACAAUUGUGGGGAGGGGUGUGCCAAGAGGAAUACAAAGCAGGCUAGUAUACCUUCCUUGUUGACGAUGGGACAGGGCACAUUGAAUGUAGCGUAUAGUUUUUUUCUUUUUUUGGUUUUUGCAACACAGUUGUUUUCCAUUUAGUAUUGUAGUGUUCUUAAUUCAUAGUGCUGGGAAUUAUGAUGUAUGUUUGUGCCUGUACAGGAUUCAAGAACACGUGGACAAAGAUGAAGUGGAAGGAAUCUUGUAUGUCUGUUUGUGCUUGUACAAAGCCUUUUUGUUCUUUCUUAAAUUUCAGUGAUAUGUAGAGUAAUUGAUCCUGAUGGUUCCAUUUAAAAAAAAAAAGCAGUGCAAGAAUUCAUAAGGUUGAUUACCUUUUCCUAAUCUAACAACAUUUUCUAUUGUAUUUUGAUCACCAGUAAGAAGAUGGAUUGGAUUGUUG